UAGCUAGUUGGUGAGGUAAAGGCUUACCAAGGCGACGAUCUGUAGCGGGUCUGAGAGGAUGAUCCGCCACACUGGAACUGAGACACGGUCCAGACUCCUACGGGAGGCAGCAGUGGGGAAUUUUGGACAAUGGGGGCAACCCUGAUCCAGCCAUGCCGCGUGAGUGAAGAAGGCCUUCGGGUUGUAAAGCUCUUUCGGCCGGGAAGAAAUCGCAUGGGCCAAUACCCUGUGUGGAUGACGGUACCGGAAUAAGAAGCACCGGCUAACUACGUGCCAGCAGCCGCGGUAAUACGUAGGGUGCGAGCGUUAAUCGGAAUUACUGGGCGUAAAGCGUGCGCAGGCGGUUUUGUAAGACAGGCGUGAAAUCCCCGGGCUUAACCUGGGAACUGCGUUUGUGACUGCAAGGCUAGAGUACGGCAGAGGGGGGUGGAAUUCCACGUGUAGCAGUGAAAUGCGUAGGGAUGUGGAGGAACACCAAUGGCGAAGGCAGCCCCCUGGGUCGAUACUGACGCUCAUGCACGAAAGCGUGGGUAGCAAACAGGAUUAGAUACCCUGGUAGUCCACGCCCUAAACUAUGUCAACUAGGUGUUGGGUGGGUAAAACCAUUUAGUACCGUAGCUAACGCGUGAAGUUGACCGCCUGGGGAGUACGGCCGCAAGGUUAAAACUCAAAGGAAUUGACGGGGACCCGCACAAGCGGUGGAUGAUGUGGAUUAAUUCGAUGCAACGCGAAAAACCUUACCUACCCUUGACAUGCCAGGAACUUGCCAGAGAUGGCUUGGUGCCCGAAAGGGAGCCUGGACACAGGUGCUGCAUGGCUGUCGUCAGCUCGUGUCGUGAGAUGUUGGGUUAAGUCCCGCAACGAGCGCAACCCUUGUCGUUAAUUGCCAUCAUUUGGUUGGGCACUUUAACGAGACUGCCGGUGACAAACCGGAGGAAGGUGGGGAUGACGUCAAGUCCUCACGGCCCUUAUGGGUAGGGCUUCACACGUCAUACAAUGGUCGGUACAAAGGGUUGCCAAGCCGCGAGGCGGAGCCAAUCCCAGAAAGCCGAUCGUAGUCCGGAUUGCAGGCUGCAACUCGCCUGCAUGAAGUCGGAAUCGCUAGUAAUCGUGGAUCAGCAUGUCACGGUGAAUACGUUCCCGGGUCUUGUACACACCGCCCGUCACACCAUGGGAGCGGGUUCCGCCAGAAGUAGGUAGCCUAACCGCAAGGGGGGCGCUUACCACGGCGGGGUUCGUGACUGGGGUGAAGUCGAAACAAGGUAGCCGUAGGAACCUGCGGCUG
rnacentral:rRNA from 1 species